rnacentral:RNase_MRP_RNA from 2 species
GAACUACUAGACGAAGUGAAUGGGUUGCGGCCGGUGCUUGUUACUCGGCCAAACCCAGGAAAGUCCCCGGGCCCUCAACUGCAGAGAUGCAGGCUCGGAAACGAGCUAAGCUUAAGGCCGUUGGGGUUUGUCCUUAUCCUUGAUAAGGCGGGGCAGAGACGAGUGUGGAGCCCUAAUGACCUUAAUGCCGAAGUAACUUGGCCGAUGCCCACAGUUAUUCACUUGGUCCCUAAGCUUGGACUAACUGAACGGGGCUUAUGAUCUAGUAGUU